rnacentral:rRNA from 1 species
GACGAACCGUGCGAACGUUGUUCGGAAUCACUGGGCAUAAAGGGCGCGUAGGCGGGCCGUAAAGUCAGGGGUGAAAUCCUCCAGCUCAACUGGAGAACUGCCUUUGAUACUGACGGCCUCGAGUGAGGUAGGGGCGUGCGGAACUGAUGGUGGAGCGGUGAAAUGUGUUGAUAUCAUCAGGAACUCCGGUGGCGAAAGCGGCACGCUGGACCUUUACUGACGCUGAGGCGCGAAAGCCAGGGGAGCAAACGGG